rnacentral:rRNA from 1 species
UGGGGAAUUUUGGACAAUGGGCGAAAGCCUGAUCCAGCAAUGCCGCGUGUGUGAAGAAGGCCUUCGGGUUGUAAAGCACUUUUGUCCGGAAAGAAAUGGCUCUGGUUAAUACCUGGGGUCGAUGACGGUACCGGAAGAAUAAGGACCGGCUAACUACGUGCCAGCAGCCGCGGUAAUACGUAGGGUCCAAGCGUUAAUCGGAAUUACUGGGCGUAAAGCGUGCGCAGGCGGUUGUGCAAGACCGAUGUGAAAUCCCCGAGCUUAACUUGGGAAUUGAAUUGGUGACUGCACGGCUAGAGUGUGUCAGAGGGGGGUAGAAUUCCACGUGUAGCAGUGAAAUGCGUAGAGAUGUGGAGGAAUACCGAUGGCGAAGGCAGCCCCCUGGGAUAACACUGACGCUCAUGCACGAAAGCGUGGGGAGCAAACAGG